CUGCGAAUGGCUCAUUAUAUAAGUUAUCGUUUAUUUGAUAGUACCUUACUACUUGGAUAACCGUGGUAAUUCUAGAGCUAAUACAUGCUGAAAAUCCCGACUCCGGAAGGGAUGUAUUUAUUAGAUUAAAAACCAAUGCCCUCUGGGCUCCUUGGUGAUUCAUAAUAACUUUUCGAAUCGCACGGCCUUGCGCCGGCGAUGGUUCAUUCAAAUUUCUUCCCUAUCAACUUUCGAUGUUUGGGUAUUGGCCAAACAUGGUCGCAACGGGUAACGGAGGGUUAGGGCUCGACCCCGGAGAAGGAGCCUGAGAAACGGCUACUACAUCCAAGGAAGGCAGCAGGCGCGCAAAUUACCCAAUCCCGAUUCGGGGAGGUAGUGACAAUAAAUACUGAUACAGGGCUCUUUUGGGUCUUGUAAUUGGAAUGAGUACAAUUUAAAUCUCUUAACGAGGAACAAUUGGAGGGCAAGUCUGGUGCCAGCAGCCGCGGUAAUUCCAGCUCCAAUAGCGUAUAUUAAAGUUGUUGUGGUUAAAAAGCUCGUAGUUGAACCUUGGGCCUGGCUGGCCGGUCCGCCUCACCGCGUGCACUGGUCCGGCCGGGCCUUUCCCUCUGUGGAACCCCAUGCUCUUCACUGAGUGUGGCGGGGAAACAGGACUUUUACUUUGAAAAAAUUAGAGUGCUCCAGGCAGGCCUAUGCUCGAAUACAUUAGCAUGGAAUAAUAAAAUAGGACGUGUGGUUCUAUUUUGUUGGUUUCUAGGACCGCCGUAAUGAUUAAUAGGGACAGUCGGGGGCAUCAGUAUUCAAUUGUCAGAGGUGAAAUUCUUGGAUUUAUUGAAGACUAACUACUGCGAAAGCAUUUGCCAAGGAUGUUUUCAUUAAUCAGGAACGAAAGUUAGGGGAUCGAAGACGAUCAGAUACCGU
rnacentral:rRNA from 1 species